UUAGAUAGGUACGUUACAUACAAAUUUAAGAAACUGUCUUAAUUAAAAAUGUCCCAUUAUUCGUCACUUCUCGAAGUUAUAUAGUGUAACCAUUAUUUAAAAAUGUGGAAUACGAUCGCUCUCAGUAUAUUACUUUUAUCAUCCACUGUUUUCUCUGGCAAAGUGCCCAGUGACAUUUCCGAAGAUUGGACGAAAUCGGUAAAUAAGGUAAAAAUGGAAUGUUUAGAACAAGGGAACACUACCGUGGAAGCUGUCGAUGCAAUGCUUGCAACAUGGGACAUACCCGAAUCGCUUAAUUGUUUUAUGACAUGCGUGUUUGAAAAAAAUGGAUUUGUAGAUAAGGAUGGAAAUUUUACUGAAGUACUCCUUCAACAUAAGGGUGUAACUCAGGAAAAUCUGCGAAAAUGUGAAAAUGCAGUUGAAGCAUACAACAAAGAAAGUUGUAAUAGAGUAUAUUAUUUUUGCACAUGUAUGAUCUCUUCAGUAUCCAUCAGCAAUGUUUGAUUAUGCCUUUUUGCAACGUAUGCAGCUUACAAGUACCUAUGUUGGCUUAAUAUUAAGUAAUAUAAUAUAUGGGGUGUUCAUUUGAAAACUUCCCACCACGGAUUUAUCGAAAACCACCGAUUAAAGGAAAAAGCGCCGA